CCGGCUCAAAGAAAGUUGUGUAAGUUCAACUUAAGUCACAGAAACUUCUACAGAUACAUAGAUUUGUUCUGUUAUUAAAUUCCGAGCAUUUAAUCCGGUUUGAUGAGAUUAGGUAAGAGCAUCUCCAAUGGUGUUCUAUAAUCUCCUCUAUAAUUUUUACUAUAAAAUAGAGUAACCUUAUUAUAAAGUUGGUUUUGCUCCAAUGGUUAACUCUAUAAUAAAAAUUACUAUAUAAUAGGGUAGAAUAUAGAGGAAUGUUGUUUUUUUUUAUUCCAAAUUGGAGAUGGUCUAAAGGCCAAAGCCACCAACACGCAUUGACUCACACAUAAUUUCCUCAUCUAGUUUUUAGUUUUGGAAAUGAAAAUAUAAUACUUAAAACAAACAUGGGAGGCACA
rnacentral:lncRNA from 1 species